CCAAUCUGGCAACGCUGAACCCAACUCCACACAGAUGCGGGUCUGCUCUGUGUCAGGCCGCCGGGCUGAUCGGGUUUGGACCGCUCCCGACUGUUCCUGACAUUAAACAAUCCAUCAGUGAGUGUUUCAUCUCCUGUGCACGCAGCGACUGUUUCUUCGGUUCGAUCGAGAGUGCAGGGGAAACGAUGCUUUGCUCGAGGGCACAUCAACACGUGUUGCCAGGAGGGGGCGUGGACUGGAAACUUCUGCACAACCUCCUGUUGCCAGGCAACGCUCUGUACCAUCUUAAAUGUUUAAUCUAUUUUCAUUUAUUGGAAAUGACAUCUGGAGCUUGUGAAGUGAACUGCUAUGCCGACAAGUUUCAGACACACCGCUGAUUUCGGGCUGGAGAUCCGUGGAUUUGAUCAGACAACCUCCCCGGCAGAAGGAGCGCGCUGGUCCGUCUCAGCGGUGGUCCGCCUAGAGCCCUCUCGGAUGAGCUGCAUCAAGCAUGUGAUUUGAUCACGCAUGUGGAGGACUGCCGUGUCCGGAUUAACGAUUUGAACAAAGGUAGCGAACACGAUGCCCACUGGGCCAAAGUUUCAGAGGUUCUACGACCAGGGAACCAGUAGGCAUGGAGACGGUCUGGUGGUCCACGGGGACUAGGGGUCUACUACAGACCCUAGACACUGGCGGAUGGGGUUCUGGAGGGUCUUGGGGUAGCGCUCCAGGGGGCAGAGGACUCCUGUCUGAAUGGACAAGCUCACAUUUAAAGGGUUUAAAAAUGGGACUGUCUCCAAAUCUUAAUGUAAUUCCAUAUUUGCCUCUAAUGACCCUCCCGUCUGUUUAACCACUGGCUCCAUGAGAGCAGGUUCUAGCGUUGUUACACAAUACACACUUCAAAGGCCAGGCAGGCAAUUUAGCAUUUGGAGAUGGAACCAUGCCAAGGCUGCCAUGUGUAGAAUGUAGUGGCAUCUACCAUAUUCAUUAGUGUGCUUUAAUUAGGGAUUCCAUUCAAUAAAGGAAUUAUUUCAAUUAACUCACUUGACUAGAAGAUUACCAUAUUUUGACUCUCUUCAGAGGUGGGUUUUAAUAGUGUGAACUAAUACCAAAACACAAAAUGGUAACACAAGAACCAAGUACUCGAGAUAUAGCCCAGUAGAACGUCUUUUAUUGCAUCAUAACAUCACGACAGGUAACACGUCCUUCAGUCAUGAACAACACAGACCCUUGAAACCGUUUUGCAACCAUGGUUAGUUUGACCAUGCCCAGUUGCCCCCCUAAUCACUACCAAAGAUGAUAGCUGAUUGGCCGGACAAUUAUCCAAUAAAAAAAAAACUGAAUUGAAUAGUGGAGGGGAACAUUCUAGAACACUGGCACGUUCUAGAAUGUU